UGAUGGAGGAAGUGGUCCUCUCUAUCAGAUCAGACAACAGCGGAAGUUGCACCACCAUAAGAGAAGUCACGUAUUCGCCAUGGAAAUGGUCGUUAAGUGGCCUGCCGUGUAUAGCGGUAAUGCUGUAGCAGUAUGGGCUCCCUUUAACGCAACCUUCCUCCUUCUUUCCCCACUGGCCUCGUCUCUCUCCAUCUUUAAAGAUAUACGGUACCAGUCAAAGAGGACCUGAGCCCUAGGACCAUGCCCCAGGACUACCUGACAUGAUGACUCCUUGCUGUCCCCAGUCCACCUGGCCAUGCUGCUGCUCCAGUUUCAACUGACCUGAGCCCUAGGACCAUGCCCCAGGACUACCUGACAUGAUGACUCCUUACUGUCCCCAGUUUCAACUGUUCUGCCUUACUAUUAUUCAACCAUGCUGGUCAUUUAUGAACAUUUGAACAUCUUGGCCAUGUUCUGUUAUAAUCUCCACCCAGCACAGCCAGAAAGAGGUUUUGGCCUUUCUAGGGAGUUUUUCCUAGCCACCGUGCUUCUACACCUGCAUUGCUUGCUUUGGGGUUUUAGGCUGGGUUUCUGUACAGCACUUUGAGAUAUCAGCUGAUGUACGAAGGGCUAUAUAAAUAAAUUUGAUUUGAUUUGA